rnacentral:rRNA from 1 species
GUGAACGCUGGCGGUAGGCCUAACCCAUGCAAGUCGAACGGCAGCACAGUAAGGGCUUGCUCUUACGGGUGGCGAGUGGCGGACGGGUGAGGAAUACAUCGGAAUCUACUUUUUCGUGGGGGAUAACGUAGGGAAACUUACGCUAAUACCGCAUACGACCUACGGGUGAAAGCAGGGGAUCUUCGGACCUUGCGCGAUUGAAUGAGCCGAUGUCGGAUUAGCUAGUUGGCGGGGUAAAGGCCCACCAAGGCGACGAUCCGUAGCUGGUCUGAGAGGAUGAUCAGCCACACUGGAACUGAGACACGGUCCAGACUCCUACGGGAGGCAGCAGUGGGGAAUAUUGGACAAUGGGCGCAAGCCUGAUCCAGCCAUACCGCGUGGGUGAAGAAGGCCUUCGGGUUGUAAAGCCCUUUUGUUGGGAAAGAAAAGCGGCAGGUUAAUACCCCGCUGUUCUGACGGUACCCAAAGAAUAAGCACCGGCUAACUUCGUG